GAGCUGGGAGCCUGUUGGCAGGUCCCUCUUUUUAUUUUCGCUGAGAGCUUUCUUUUACUAAAUGCCACCAUCCUUACCUUUCAAGGUGUCUGCGUGCCUAAUUUUUCCUGGUUGUUAGACAAGAACCCGGAUUUUAGUUGAACUCUGGAGCAAAAAUCCUGCAUCAUUUGUCAACAACAAGAGGCCAGGACCUCCCAAGAAAAGCUUUACUAAUGUAAUAGCUUUGGCCAAGUCCACCCAAUAUAUUUUCCUCUCUGCAAAGAGAAACAAGCUAUUGUCUCAUCUUAGGUUUCAUCUUCUUCCAUGCCACUGUUAUUCAUGUUCAAAUCCUGGCUGUCCUUCAGGGUCCAAUUCAAAUGAUUAUCGCCAUUUUCUAUUAAUGUCAUUUCUUCCUAUUUUCUACCUUUUGUUAGCUAUGUUAAAGUGUUUCUUUACCAACAUCCCCCAUAUAUUGUGUAACACAGUGUCUAUGGCUUACUCAUUUUUGAAUCCUUAUCAUGACCUGACAUAAUGAAGAUUCUUAGUACAUAGUGAUACAUGUAAAUAUGAGUUAAUUAGUACAUGAUAGACUUGAUUUCCAGAAUGAUUUUGUAUAGUUGAAUUGUGUAGUAAGGGGACACAUGUGAAAUGAAGACUUUAGUCAGUAUCAAGAAGAUAUUUUGGGUGACUUCACAUAUCUGCCAAUGAUAAAUCUAGAAACAAUAGGUGCUUGGGUAGGUGAUUUCCUUUUGCCUUCUUUAUCAUUGUUUUCCCAGUAUUUCUUACAUUCAUCUAAUUUCAUUAGAUGCCCAUAUACUUUAUACUGGCUCUUCCUGUGAGGUUCGAACUGGUCCAGUCCAUUUGUUUUCAGAAUUGAUUCAUCUGGAGAGUCAUCUCCUAUCCUCCCAAACAAUGAUAUACCAGUCUGAGGACUGUGUAGAAGGGACUUCUCUUUCUACUCAGUAUGACCAAAAUAAUUCAAUUCUAGUUGUGGUGUGUGAUUUAUGAAUAUUUUGUCCUUUAGUUUGUGUGAGCCAAUUUUGUGCCAUAAGAAUUUUAGCCUCCUUUUCCACAAAAGAGUGAUUUAAUCAAACAAAAGUUGACAAUCAAUGUAGUACAUUUGUGUGACAGUGAUUAAACAUGGUGUUUUUCUCUUAGGUGUCUGAGUAGAUUUGGAAAUGCCCAUUCAGCCCUCAGAGCUCCUCUGCUUUAAGGGUGAUGGACUUCCUGUACCACUACGUAGUGCAUGAGUGCCAGCCACUGGUAUCUAGAACUGUGAUUAGUGAGGAAACACUAGGAGGAACAAACAACCCAACUCUUUUUAUCUAAUCUGUUGACUCCAAAGGGACCUUCUGCUUAUUCCAGUUAAAACUCAAGCUGCAAUUCAAAAUGAAAUCAGUAUCUUUUUUCUCUACUUUUCAGCAAAGCAAGAUGCUACCUUAUAAUUACCACGUAACAAUCAAUCGCAAACAUAGUGGCUUAAAGCAGCUCCUCUUUUAGCCUACAUAUCUGCAAACUGGCAGUCUGGACUGAGCUCAGCUGGAUGUUUUUUCUGAGCUGAUCAUGUAUGUAGGGUCUGCUGCUGGCUGGUUUAGACUGAUGGUGGAUGAGAAACCACAUGAAGAAGAGAGGCAUGAUGGUGGCAGAGUUCUGAAAGAGUCACACAGAAGGGCGUUGAGUUCGUGGCUUGAAAAUAGCAUCCUGUCACUUCUACCACAUUCUAUUUACCAGGCCAGCCCAGAUAAAGAUGUGAAGAAACAGACUCCAUCUCUUGAUGGGAGAAGUUGAAAAUCAAUGGAAAAUGGCAUGGAUAAGGAAAGGAGUGAUGAUUGUGGCCAUAUUUGUAAUGGCCAUAUUUGAUACCCUUUUCAGUUUUCCUAGCCACACUUCUCAUUGGCCAGGAAAAUUAAAUGCAUGUCAACACUGAAGAAAACAGAUCUUGGUUAAAAGCAAUGAUGUAGCUAAUAUCCCGUUCAGGUAAAAGAUUACUUAUAUAGUGUGAGACAGGCAUGAGGCAGAGAAGUGCUUACAGGUUGGUUUCUGCUUUGUUAGCAGAUUUACUUUUAGAUCAUAUACUACUUUGUUUUUACUGUUUUAUUGAGAAAAAAUAACAAAUAUUUCCAAAAUUUUGCAGCAUGCAACUCAGUGCUUCAGUUGGCAUUCAAUCAAAAUUUCCUUGAAAUAAAAAAAGACAAGAGAGAGACUUGGAAUUAUGACUCUUCUACUAGAUUAGCUCCUUCAUGUCAAAAUCUGUCAAGUUUAUGAUUUAUUCAGAUAGCACUUGUUUUUGGUGUAAUAACUAAACUGUUGCUUUAGAGUCUACUACAUUCUCCUCUAUUAUUUGGCAUUUUUCUCUUUAUUAUUUUGUUCAAGUAGGAUAUUGUGCUGAGUUGAACCAUGAAAUGAAUUGUAUUGAGCAACAUCAACAACAUAAAUAUUCUGGGGUGUCAUCUGCAUUUUCAUAUCUGGCUGCUCAAAUUCUUUUUACAGCUAUAGCUUUGAUAAUAAUGUAAUAGCAUAAUGUUUUUCAUUAGAUAUCAAAUCAUAGAAGACAACAAAGAUGUGUUAAGUUAGCAUAGUUUAAUAUAAGGAAACAACAGCAUCAGUAAAAGCAUUGAGCACUAAAUAUCUCUUCCAUUUCAGUUCUUUUACAGGAAGCUUUUGUUACGUGUUGUCAGCACAUUGCUGUGAUGCUCAAGUAUAGCUCUUUAAUGUGAAAACCUGGUAUUUGGGCAUGGCUUGAAGCAGGUGAGAGAGUAACCCAUGCAGAUAUUAGAGGAAAGGAACAAGAGUAGCUGGAAAGAUCCAGAGUUAGGAAGCUUCCUGGUGCCCUCCAGGAGUGGCAAGCUGGUCACUGUGGCAUGAGAAAAUUGAGUUAGGGAAAAAGAAGCAGAUUAGGUCAAAGAGGUGAAAUGGGAGGGAGGUCAUGUAGAUGUUGUAGGCUACUGUGAUGAGUUUGACUUUUACUCUGGAAGACAGGAAGACAACCAUAAAAUUUGGGCCAUUAGAGUGAAAUAAUUUGUCUUUAUUUUAAAAGGAUCACUUUGCCUCCUCUGUUGGAAUAGAAUGUGUAUGUACUGGAGAGUGGUGGUGGAUAGACAGCUAUAAUGGAAGCUGGGAGACAAAUUAGAAAGCAACUGUUUUCUCCCAAAUUCAUUCCCUGCCCUUCCUCUAAUUACAUCUAUAUCUUAGAGGUCUAAUCCUUAAAAAAUAUAUUUCCCAGAUUCCCUUGCUAAUUGGUUUCAAACUAAAUUUAGUCAAAAAGAAGCAUUGUCAUGAAGUUCAGGGCACCAAGAAGGGACAAGCUGGGGCAUUGCUCUCUCUCUCUGAUUGCUUUGGGUUGUGCCUGUGGCAACUGCCACAUGUGCCCCAUGGCCAGUCCCUGCUGGGCAGGCUACUGUGAUUGCCAUUUGUAUUGGGUGAUCUCAGCUUUUGGUUUCCCAUGAUACCAUCUCUAGGGGUAGCAGCUGGCUAUAAUAACUAAUGUCUGGAUUAUCCUAACUCUUCUGUUUGUUCUUUCAGGUAUUUAACAAUGUUGUGACUAAUUGGCUUCCAUUAUUUCCCUAGAGUAGGUUCUGUUAUUACCCUGGAAUAUGUUUGUAAUAGAGUGGGCUAUUACAAUCAUCUAGGAUAAAGAUAAUCGUGGCUUGGAAUAAGGUGGUAGCAAUGGAAGUGAUGAGAAGUCAUUAGAUGCAGAAUAUAUUUUAUAGAUGGAAUGUGAUAAAAUAAAAAAUAAACUGGACUCUGGUUUCCAGCAUAUAGUUCCAAAAGACUGAAAUUGAAAUUUGUGGAGUAAUAGGGUAUCUUUUGUAUGCUAAUGAGAAGAGUGGCGGUUGGGGGCCCCUAGAAAGCUUCAGCAUGAGGGCUAGUCACCAGAAAAACUAUGACAUGAUUAGAGGGCUAGAACUUUCAGCCUCACUCCUUGACCUCUGAGGAGAGAAGACAGGCUAGAGAUUGAGUUCAAUCACCAAUGGCCAAUGAUUUAAUCAAUAUCAUGCCUACAUAACGCAGUCUCCAUAGAAACCCCUAAACCGUGGAUUUCAGAGAGCUUCUGGGUUGGCCAACAUAUCAACAGAGGAGCUGUGAGGUGGGCAAGCCUGAAGAGGGCUUGGAAGGUCCUGUAUCUGCCCCCUUUUCUUUGCUUUAUGCUUCUCUUCCAUGGGCUGUUCCUAAGUUGUAUCUUUUAUAUAGUCAAAAAGAGUUUUGAUAUAGGUUGUAUGAGUGUUAUAAGAUAAAUAAAAGUCAAAAAUGACUCUAGUGUUUUUCCUGAGAAAUUGAAAAUGGCAUAAUUAUUAUUAACUAAGAUGAAAAUAAUGUAAAUAAAGCAAGUCUAUGCUGGGAGAGAUUAGGGGUUCAGUUUUGUACAUGCUGUGUUUAAGAUGCCCAUUAACUACCUAAUUGGAACGUUUAAAUGAUCAGUUGUGUAUAUAUGCAUCUGGAGUCAGAAGUCCAAACUAGAGAUAUAAAUUUAGGAAUCAACAGCUUUUAUUGUUGUCUAUUCAAAGUUAUGAGCCUAGAUGAGAUCAUUCCAGAAAGUGAACAUAUAUAAAAGAGAGAUUACCAAAAGUGAAUGAGGACUCCAUUUACUAUACCUUCAAUUAUUUAAAAUCUUAUAAAUUGGUGCUGUCCAAUAGAACUUCCUGCAGAGACAGAAAUGUUCUAUAUUUGUACUAUCUGAAAUAGUAGCUGUAUUAGUUUUCUAUUUCUACCACAACAAAUUGUCUCAACUAUAGUGGCUUAAACAACAGUAAUUUAUUAUCUUGUAGUUCUGUAGAUCAGAAAUGCACCAUGGUGUCACUGGGCUAAAACCAAGGUGCCAGCAUGGUUGCAUUCCUUUUUGGAGGCUCUGGUGGAGAAUCUGUUUCUUUGACUGAUCUAACUUCUAGAGCCCAUUUGCAUUCCGUGGCUUGUGGCUCCCUACCUGCAUCUUCAAAGCUAGCAAGGCAUGUUGAGUUCUCACAGCUCAUUACCCUGAUCUUUUCUUCUGUCUUCCUCCUCCACUUUAAGUAUCCUUGUGAUUAGAUUGGAACCCUUGUGGAUAAUCCAGGAUAAUCUUCCCAUCUCAAGGCCCUUAACCUUAAUCACAUGUAUAAAGUCCCUUUUGUCAUGUAAAGUAACAUAUCCAUAGGUUCCAGGAUUAGAAUGCAUACAUUUUUGGGAGGCCAUUACUUUGCCUACCAGCAUGAC
rnacentral:lncRNA from 1 species